CCUACGGGAGGCAGCAGUAGGGAAUCUUUCACAAUGGGCGCAAGCCUGAUGGAGCAACGCCGCGUGCAGGAUGAAGGCCUUCGGGUUGUAAACUGCUUUUAUAAGCGAGAAAUAUGAUGGUAACUUAUGACUAAGGAUCGGCUAACUACGUGCCAGCAGCCGCGGUCAUACGUAGGAUCCGAGCAUUAUCCGGAGUGACUGGGUGUAAAAGGUGCGUAGUCUGGGAGGUAAGUCAGCGGUGAAAUGCCCCCGCUCAACGGGGUGACGUGCCAUUGAUACUGCCUUGCUGGAAUGCGGAUGCCGUAGGAGGAAUGUGUGGUGUAGCGGUGAAAUGCAUAGAUAUCACACAGAACACCGAUUGCGAAGGCAUCUCACGAAUCCGCGAUUGACGCUGAUGCACGAAAGCGUGGGUAUCAAACAGGAUUAGAUACCCUUGUAGUC
rnacentral:rRNA from 1 species